rnacentral:rRNA from 1 species
UACGUAGGGGGCAAGCGUUGUCCGGAUUUAUUGGGCGUAAAGAGCGUGUAGGCGGCCUGACAAGUCUGCUGUGAAAACUCGAGGCUCAACCUCGAGAUGUCGGCGGAAACUGUCUGGCUAGAGUCCGGAAGAGGAGAGUGGAAUUCCUGGUGUAGCGGUGAAAUGCGCAGAUAUCAGGAAGAACACCUAUGGCGAAGACAGCUCUCUGGGACGGUACUGACGCUGAGACGCGAAAGCGUGGGGAGCGAACAGG